rnacentral:rRNA from 1 species
UACGUAGGUGGCAAGCGUUGUCCGGAAUUAUUGGGCGUAAAGCGCGCGCAGGCGGUUUCUUAAGUCUGAUGUGAAAGCCCCCGGCUCAACCGGGGAGGGUCAUUGGAAACUGGGAACUUGAGUGCAGAAGAGGAAAGUGGAAUUCCGAGUGUAGCGGUGAAAUGCGUAGAGAUUUGGAGGAACACCAGUGGCGAAGGCGACUUUCUGGUCUGUAACUGACGCUGAGGCGCGAAAGCGUGGGAGCAACAG